GACGAACGCUGGCGGCGUGCCUAAUACAUGCAAGUCGAACGCAGUGGGGACGGUGGAGUAACACGUGGCUAACCUCCCAUCAGAGGGGAUAACACUUGGAAACAGGUGCUAAACCGCUACUGAUGGAUGGACCCGCGGUGCAUUAGCUUGUUGGUGAGGUAACGGCUCACCAAGGCUACGAUGCAUAGCCGUCCUGAGAGUGUGAUCAGCCACACUGGAACUGAGACACGGCCCAGACUCCUACGGGAGGCAGCAGUAGGGAAUAUUCGGCAAUGGACGAAAGUCUGAGCGAGCAAGGCCGCGUGAGUGAAGAAGGUUUUCGGAUCGUAAAACUCUGUUAUUAGGGAAGCGGUACCUGAACAGAAAGCCCCGGCUAACUACGUGCCAGCAGCCGCGGUAAUAC
rnacentral:rRNA from 1 species